GCGGUUGUCCCCGGGGGUGUUUUUGCCUUCCAAGCUAAAAGACAGGGUUCGACUCCCUGCAGCCGCUCCA
rnacentral:tRNA from 1 species